UUUGACCUACGGGGGCAGCAGUGAGGAAUAUUGGUCAAUGGGCGGGAGCCUGAACCAGCCAAGCCGCGUGAGGGAAGAAGGUACAGCGUAUCGUAAACCUCUUUUGUCAGGGAACAAAGGCGGGGACUAGUCCCCGGAUGAGGGUACCUGAAGAAAAAGCAUCGGCUAACUCUGUGCCAGCAGCCGCGGUAAUACGGAGGAUGCGCGCGUUAUCCGGAUUUAUUGGGUUUAAAGGGUGCGCAGGCGGCCUGUUAAGUCAGCGGUAAAAUCCCGGGGCUCAACCCCGGCGAGCCGUUGCAACUGGG
rnacentral:rRNA from 1 species